rnacentral:misc_RNA from 1 species
CACUCAUCGCCCGUCUGUCUAAUCUACAGACGGUAGUCGGCCAUAUAGCCACAGCGUUUGUGUUUUUGCUCUUGAACUCUAAACAAAGUGUUAGGUGUGAAUAUAGUGUAAAAUAAAAUGUUUGAAGAAUAAGUUCUAAGUUGAAUUAGAGAUUCGCCGCUUUUGAUAUGUCACGAAACUGUUGUUCCUAUUUAGAUUGUAGAAACAGUGCACAUAAAGUGAAAGGACUCAGAAUGUUUACAUUUCCACUGAAAGAAACAUUAAGUGCAAUAUGGGUCAGCAACUGCGAAUCAGGAAUCACAACACGAGGUCUUCAUUAAGUCCGAAUCCGAAGAGGUUUUGGAUAUUUACGAUGACAACACAGUCGGUAACUUUUCACCUUCCAACAAUGAGAAACCAGACGUAAGUGAUUCUGCCAGUCAGAGC